UACGAAGGGGGCUAGCGUUGCUCGGAAUCACUGGGCGUAAAGGGUGCGUAGGCGGGUCUUUUAAGUCAGGGGUGAAAUCCUGGAGCUCAACUCCAGAACUGCCUUUGAUACUGAGGAUCUUGAGUUCGGGAGAGGUGAGUGGAACUGCGAGUGUAGAGGUGAAAUUCGUAGAUAUUCGCAAGAACGCCAGUGGCGAAGGCGGCUCACUGGCCCGAUACUGACGCUGAGGCACGAAAGCGUGGGGAGCAACAGG
rnacentral:rRNA from 1 species